GAUGAAGAACGUAGCGAAAUGCGAUAAGUAAUGUGAAUUGCAGAAUUCAGUGAAUCAUCGAAUCUUUGAACGCACAUUGCGCCCGCCAGUAUUCUGGCGGGCAUGCCUGUCUGAGCGUCAUUACAACCCUCAAGCUCAGCUUGGUGUUGGGCCCCGCCGCCCCGGCGGGCCCUAAAGUCAGUGGCGGUGCCGUCCGGCUCCGAGCGUAGUAAUUCUUCUCGCUCUGGAGGUCCGGUCGUGUGCUCGCCAGCAACCCCCAAUUUUUUUCAGGUUGACCUCGGAUCAGGUAGGGAUACCCGCUGAACUUAAGCAUAUCAAUAAGCGGAGGA
rnacentral:misc_RNA from 1 species